GUGAGGAAUUUUCCGCAAUGGGCGAAAGCCUGACGGAGCAAUGCCGCGUGAAGGAUGAAGGCCUAUGGGUUGUAAACUUCUUUUCUCAGAAAAGAAUUAUGACGGUAUCUGAGGAAUAAGCAUCGGCUAACUCUGUGCCAGCAGCCGCGGUAAGACAGAGGAUGCAAGCGUUAUUCGGAAUGAUUGGGGGUAAAGCGGCUGUAGGUAGUUUACAGAGUAUUCUGGCACAGAUUAGAGCUUAACCGUAGGUAGGCAGAAUAAACUUGUAAGGUAGAGUGUGGUAGAAGAAGAGGGAAUGCCGGGUGGAGAGGUGAAAUGCGUAGAUAUCGGGAGGAACACCAAAGGCGAAGGCACUCUGCUGGGCCAAUACUAACACUGAGAGACGAAAGCGAGGGGAGCAAAUGGGAUUAGAAACCCGUGUAGUCC
rnacentral:rRNA from 1 species